rnacentral:rRNA from 1 species
GAUGAACGCUGGCGGCGUGCCUAAUACAUGCAAGUCGAGCGAACGGACGAGAAGCUUGCUUUUCUGAUGUUAGCGGCGGACGGGUGAGUAACACGUGGAUAACCUACCUAUAAGACUGGGAUAACUUCGGGAAACCGGAGCUAAUACCGGAUAAUAUUUUGAACCGCAUGGUUCAAAAGUGAAAGACGGUCUUGCUGUCACUUAUAGAUGGAUCCGCACUGCAUUAGCUAGUUGGUAAGGUAACGGCUUACCAAGGCAACGAUGCAUAGCCGACCUGAGAGGGUGAUCGGCCACACUGGAACUGAGACACGGUCCAGACUCCUACGGGAGGCAGCAGUAGGGAAUCUUACGCAAUGGGCGAAAGCCUGACGGAGCAACGCCGCGUGAGUGAUGAAGGUCUUCAGAUCGUAAAACUCUGUUAUUAGGGAAGAACAUAUGUGUAAGUAACUGUGCACAUCUUGACGGUACCUAAUCAGAAAGCCACGGCUAACUACGUG